rnacentral:rRNA from 1 species
GCAAGUCGAACGAUGAAACAGAAGCUUGCUUCUGUGAAUUAGUGGCGAAAGGGUGAGUAACGCGUGAACAAUUUGCCCCUAAGCUCGGAAUAGCCUCGGGAAACUGGGAUUAAUACCGAAUGUGGUCUUCUGUCGCAUGACAGAAUCACUAAAGAUUUAUCACUUAGGGAUGAGUUCGCGUUCUAUUAGCUUGUUGGUGGGGUAACGGCCUACCAAGGCGACGAUAGAUAGCUGGUCUGAGAGGAUGACC